rnacentral:tRNA from 1 species
GCGCGUGUGGCGAAAUUGGUAGACGCAGCAGAUUUAGGUUCUGCCACCUAGGUGUGGAGGUUCGAGUCCUCUCACGCGCACCA